GGACUCGUGGUAUAAUGGUAGCACACUUAACACGUAUUCGAGAGACCCAGGUUCGAAUCCCGGCGAGGCCA
rnacentral:tRNA from 1 species